UACGAAGGGUGCAAGCGUUACUCGGAAUUACUGGGCGUAAAGCGUGCGUAGGUGGUUUGUUAAGUCUGUUGUGAAAGCCCCGGGCUCAACCUGGGAAUGGCAAUGGAUACUGGCAAGCUAGAGUGCGGUAGAGGGUAGUGGAAUUCCCGGUGUAGCGGUGAAAUGCGUAGAGAUCGGGAGGAACACCAGUGGCGAAGGCGGCUACCUGGACCAGCACUGACGCUGAGGCACGAAAGCGUGGGGAGCAAACAGG
rnacentral:rRNA from 1 species